rnacentral:lncRNA from 10 species
CUGUCUCACCAAAAUGUACAGACUUCCUUUUUCACAGGAGAACACUGAGGCUAUCUAGGAAAUAACAUUCCUGAGCAUUCCUUAUGCAACAUGAAAGUUCUGUUGUCAGUUCUCAAUGAAGCCAUCAGAUCUUCCUGACUGCUGCCUAACACAAGAGCACAGGACUCCUGUAUCAUUCCCUGAGGAUUCAGAAAUUUGAUCAAAUAGAGAUUUUCAGGAAUUGCCUUCCAAUCAAUUUCCUGAGGUAAGUACGACAAAUACAUGGGGAUACCAAGAACCAAUAUUUGUAAGGAAGAAAAUGUUGAUUUUCCAAAAAGGGGGAUAAAAGUUUUGAAAGUUGCUGCCUAAAGAAAAUAAACGCAAGUUCCAUGACAUUGGGUAAUCAAUCUCUCAUUGUGACAUCAAAAAAAAAAUGAAAGACAUACACAAUAAACAAAAACAUGGUAGUGAAGCACAUAUUGGUCAUUACUAAAAGAAACUCAAACUUUUUUCUCCUUUGCUCUCACACCACAGCAAAAAUCAUCACAGAAGAUUUCUGUGACCAAAUAUAUAGGGGUUUUUCUCCACCAAUAAGCAAUCAAUUCUGCAGUGGACAUCAUCUGGGAAUCCUCCAAUUCAACAUCUGACACUAUCCACCUGGAGAUAGCAUCAGAUCCCACAGGUUGAAGGCACAGUCUUCAUGACCACCUCCACUCUUCAGACACCAAUUUUAAGUCUGGGCCUCCAGAACAUCUGACCAACUGGGGUUCUCACAACCCCUCUUUGGAUUCAAUUAAUUUCCUGGAGUACCUCACAGAACUCAGGGAAACAUUUAUUUGUGUUUAUUUGUUUAUUGUAAAGGAUAUUUUAUAGACUACAAAUAAAGAGCCAGAGAUACUUAGGGUGAGGUCUGGAAGGGUCUUGAGUGUAGCAGUUUCUGCCUCCAUGGAGGUAGAGUGCACCACCCUUCUUACAUAUGGAUGAGUUCUUGUUCAUCUCCCUGUAGGUCUCCCCAUGUUUAGCUCUCUGGAAGCCCCUGAAUCCCGUCCUCUCAGGCCUUAUAUGGAGACUUCAUUGGAUAGGCAUGAUUGCAUCACGGACAACCAUGUCACAAUGUGACUGGACAAAAAGGGUAUGAUUUAAACUCAGCAAAGGCCAAACUGUUCAGAUUCUUCACUCCUUUCUGUGCAGCAUUCCUUCCUCCAGGGUAUGGGGCAGGAUCUUCUCUAGAAUGAGGGUCUUAUGACCCACAAUCAGAUUAGAGUCCUGUCUUGGAAAGGUGAAAGAAAGGAGGGCAGGAGGAGGUUAGAGGGAAAGAUUCUCUUUAUUGUAACAAAGGCUAUGGGAGUUUAACCCCAGGAACUGUAGAUGAAAAUUGUCAUAUUAUGAUAAAUCAAACAAAAACUGAGUUCUUGUAAUAGCUUUGAAAUAGUCUCAAAUGCUUCUAAAUAACACUGAUAUUAUAAAAUAGGUCUAAUGGGACAUUGAAAAGCCUGGUUGUUUCUGAUGUUAGGAUUAAUAAGUAAAAACAAAAAAGAAACUGAUUGGCACCUAAAUAUAAAUAUCCUGGUCAGGAUUUAAAAAAGAAUUCAUAUAAAUGAUACAACCACAUAUUUGAAAAUGUGCAAUAUGUAUUAUCCAGGUAUUAGCUGGAUCCAGGUAUUAGCUGGUAUUUCAGCUACUAUGGAGUAAUUACUUUGUCUUUCUUAUGGUUUCCAAAAUGUAGAUAAGGGAGUUUCACUGCAUCUUCUGGAAGCCAAGCCUGAGUUUUGCCAUCAUUACAUGAAUUCUGCCACAAAUCAGAAAUUUGCAUUAUUGGUAAAGCUACUCAAACAUAGCAAGCUAAUUAAUACAUUAUAUUGCAGGAGAGAGGCUUAGAGAAAUGAUUACAAUUACUUUCCAAAAUGUAAAAUCAAUCAUAAAUUAUCCUUACAAUUGCUUGAACUGAAACCAAGAAAUAAAGUAAAUUACUCAUCCUUUUAAGGCUGGUUGCAAUAAACUCACUUUCUCAGAUCUUUAUGGCUUACUAGUUUUUCUGUUUAUGUUCCUGACUUUAAGCUAAGUUACCACAGAGAUUCUGCAAAUAUGGGUUUGUUUGUAUGUUUGGAGAUAAUUGAAGUGGCUCUUUAAGAAGCAUAAAUUUGAAAAUGUAUUGCUUCAAGUUGCUUUGCAAGAUUCAUGCUGGGUCAUUAAAAGAGAAAAAAUUAAA